UACGGGGGGAGCAAGCGUUGUUCGGAUUUACUGGGCGUAAAGGGCGCGUAGGCGGUCAGCACAAGUCAGUUGUGAAAUCUCCGGGCUUAACUCGGAAAGGUCAACUGAUACUGUGCGACUAGAGUGCGGAAGGGGCAACUGGAAUUCUCGGUGUAGCGGUGAAAUGCGUAGAUAUCAAGAGGAACACUCGUGGCGAAGGCGAGCUACUGGACAACAUCUGACGCUGAGGCUCGAAGGCUAGGGGAGCAAAAGGG
rnacentral:rRNA from 1 species